rnacentral:lncRNA from 1 species
UAUUCUUUUAAGUCUUUUGAAAGAUGAUCGAUUUAGUUAAAUUGUUAAAACGGAAUGAGCGCCUUUCGGGGAUUUGAACUUUUCGACCCUAAAAUUAAUGGAAAAUAUUAACAAGUAAAUAAACAUAAUAAAACAAAGAGGGAAAGAGAUUUUGGCCCAAGUAUGGUUUUUUCUGUCCGCCUGGACCAGUACUUGGGCCCAUUUUCAUUUUGGGCCUUCGGCCUACCCUGCACCUGUCCUAGACUAAUAAUAUUGUGCCUCUGACUCAAUUUUUCUCUUGGUACCUGUCCUAACAACUAUCAAGUAAUAAUAACUAACGUGCAAAGGGCUUAGGCCCAAAGGUAACAAAAUACAACUUUCAAGAUAUGGGCCUUUUGGCCCAAUUUCCUCAAUCUUUUCGAUUCGCAACACUUUAUUGUGUAUACUUAAUGUAUACAAUCUCCCGUAACCUGUGCAUCUUUUUUGGGAAUUAUUCUUCAAUUUUCAGGGGCAGGCUGACU